rnacentral:rRNA from 1 species
AUUGAACGCUGGCGGCAUGCCUUACACAUGCAAGUCGAACGGUAACAGGGAGCUUGCUCCGCUGACGAGUGGCGAACGGGUGAGUAAUGCGUCGGAACGUGCCGAGUAGUGGGGGAUAACGCAUCGAAAGGUGUGCUAAUACCGCAUACGUACUGAGGUAGAAAGUGGGGGACCUUCGGGCCUCACGCUAUUCGAGCGGCCGACGUCUGAUUAGCUAGUUGGUGAGGUAAAGGCUCACCAAGGCGACGAUCAGUAGCGGGUCUGAGAGGAUGAUCCGCCACUGGGACUGAGACACGGCCCAGACUCCUACGGGAGGCAGCAGUGGGGAAUUUUGGACAAUGGGCGCAAGCCUGAUCCAGCCAUGCCGCGUGUCUGAAGAAGGCCUUCGGGUUGUAAAGGACUUUUGUCCGGGAGCAAAUGCUGGUGGCUAACAUCCACCGGAGCUGAGAGUACCGGAAGAAUAAGCACCGGCUAACUACGUGCCAGCCGCCGCAGUAAAAC